rnacentral:rRNA from 1 species
GAUGAACGCUGGCGGCGUGCUUAACAUAUGCAAGUCGAACGGAAAGGCCCUGCUUUUGUGGCGUUCUCGAGUGGCGAACGCGCGAGUAACACGUGAGUAACCUGCCCUUGACUUUGGGAUACUUCAGGAAACUGGGGCUAAUACCGGAUAGUAGCUCCUGCUGCAUGGUGGGGGUUGGAAAGUUUCGGCGGUUGGGGAUGGACUCACGGCUUAUCAGCUUGUUGGUGGGGUAGUGGCUUACCAAGGCUUUGACGGGUAGCCGGCCUGAGAGGGUGACCGGCGACAUUGGGACUGAGAUACGGCCCAGAAUCCUACGGGAGGCAGCAGUGGGGAAUAUUGCAGAAUGGGCGGAAGCCUGAUGCAGCAACGCCGCGUGCGGGAUGACGGCCUUCGGGGUGUAAACCGCUUUCGCCUGUGACGAAGAGUGAGUGACGGUAAUGGGUAAAGAAGCACCGGCUAACUACGUG